CUCUGGUAGACAAUGAACGAAUGUUAUAUCAGUAACAGUUUGUUCUGAAGAUGAACUAAAACAUCAUCCUGAAAAUGAUGCUUUUCGUUUCGUCUUUGUUCUGUUGUCUUGCAUGUGUGAGUUUUGGGAAUGUCAUCACACCAGUCCAGCCUGAGGUGUUUGGGACCGAGGGGGGCAAUAUAACUUUGUCCUGUAACUACUCCUCAGCUAUUAGUCUGCAGUGGUAUCGCCAAUAUCCAAACUCAGCUCCUGAAUACCUUUUAGUCAUAUUGCAUGGUACAGGGCAAGUUUCUCAAAAGUCUGAAAUUGUAGAUCAAGAUCCUCGAUUCACUGGAAAACUGAAUGAAAAGAAAACCCAUGUGAUUCUGGAGAUCUCCUCUGCUAAAAUGACAGACUCUGCAAUGUACUACUGCGCACUGACGCCCACAGUGACAGGAAAACACUAUACACCAUGCAAAAACCUGACUGACUUGAAAUGAGAUGUUGCCAAAAACAACAGUGUCCAUACAAAUUAAUAUGUCAGUUUAAUUCUGAUGUUACACUGAAAUUCAUAUUUAACUAUACAUUUUCUGGCUGGUUAGUUUUUCUGUACUUUUACAGUAUGUACGUGCAUUGAUUUAGUGAAUUCUAAUUAUUGAAUAAGACCAU